rnacentral:rRNA from 1 species
UGUCUGGGAAGCUGCCUGAUGGAGGGGGAUAACUACUGGAAACGGUAGCUAAUACCGCAUAACGUCGCAAGACCAAAAAGGGGGACCUUCGGGCCUCUUGCCAUCGGAUGUGCCCAGAUGGGAUUAGCUAGUAGGUGGGGUAACGGCUCACCUAGGCGACGAUCCCUAGCUGGUCUGAGAGGAUGACCAGCCACACUGGAACUGAGACACGGUCCAGACUCCUACGGGAGGCAGCAGUGGGGAAUAUUGCACAAUGGGCGCAAGCCUGAUGCAGCCAUGCCGCGUGUAUGAAGAAGGCCUUCGGGUUGUAAAGUACUUUCAGCGGGGAGGAAGGGAGUAAAGUUAAUACCUUUGCUCAUUGACGUUACCCGCAGAAGAAGCACCGGCUAACUCCGUG